rnacentral:rRNA from 1 species
CCUACGGGAGGCAGCAGUGGGGAAUAUUGGGCAAUGGGCGCAAGCCUGACCCAGCAACGCCGCGUGAAGGAAGAAGGCUUUCGGGGUGUAAACUUCUUUUCUAAGGGACGAAGAAAGUGACGGUACCUGAGGAAUAAUCCACGGAUAACUACGAGCAAGCAGCCGGGGGAAUUCGUAGGUGGCAAGCGUUAUCCGGAUUUAUUGGGGGUAAAGGGCGGGUCGGCGGGGGCGAAAGUCAGAUGUGAAAAGUCCGGGCUCAACCCGAGGCCUGCAUUUGAAACUGGAUUUCUUGAGUGCUGGAGAGGCAAGCGGAAUUCCGUGUGUAGCGGUGAAAUGCGUAGAUAUACGGAGGAACACCAGUGGCGAAGGCGGAUUGCUGGACAGUAACUGACGCUGAGGCGCGAAAGCGUGGGGAGCAAACAGGAUUAGAUACCCCUGUAGUC